GUUUUGUGCGUUGUGAGAGGGUAAAAUCAGCAGUUAGAGAUGGAUCGGUUUGUCUGCUAUUUCUUUCUAUUGGUGUCUGUACCUCUCAUCAAUGCGCAAGUGACUGAAACAGUUGCAACACUCGCCACAGGUAACCUUGCACACCCUCAUUACUCCACACAUUGUACACCAGUAUACAUAAAAA